UGAGGAAUAUUGGUCAAUGGGCGCGAGCCUGAACCAGCCAAGUAGCGUGAAGGAUGACUGCCCUAUGGGUUGUAAACUUCUUUUGUCCGGGAAUAAAACCGCCUACGUGUAGGCGCUUGUAUGUACCGGUACGAAUAAGCAUCGGCUAACUCCGUGCCAGCAGCCGCGGUAAUACGGAGGAUGCGAGCGUUAUCCGGAUUUAUUGGGUUUAAAGGGAGCGCAGACGGGUUUUUAAGUCAGCUGUGAAAGUUUGGGGCUCAACCUUAAAAUUGCAGUUGAUACUGGAGACCUUGAGUGCAGUUGAGGCAGGCGGAAUUCGUGGUGUAGCGGUGAAAUGCUUAGAUAUCACGAAGAACUCCGAUUGCGAAGGCAGCUUGCUAAAGUGUAACUGACGUUCAUGCUCGAAAGUGUGGGUAUCAAACAG
rnacentral:rRNA from 1 species